rnacentral:rRNA from 1 species
GACAGAGGAGGCAAGCGUUGUUCGGAAUCAUUGGGCUUAAAGGGCGUGUAGGCGGCGGCGCAAGUGUCGAGUGAAAUCCCAUCGCUCAACGAUGGAACGGCUCGGCAAACUGCGUCGCUUGAGGUCGGUAGAGGUGCUCGGAACUCUAGGUGGAGCGGUGAAAUGCGUAGAUAUCUAGAGGAACGCCUGAGGCGAAAGCGGGGCACUGGGCCGAUUCUGACGCUGGAGACGCGAAAGCGUGGGGAGCAAACGGG